rnacentral:rRNA from 1 species
GAGAGGAGCUUGCUCUUCUUGGAUGAGUUGCGAACGGGUGAGUAACGCGUAGGUAACCUGCCUUGUAGCGGGGGAUAACUAUUGGAAACGAUAGCUAAUACCGCAUAACAAUGGGUGACACACGUCAUUUAUUUGAAAGGGGCAAUUGCUCCACUACAAGAUGGACCUGCGUUGUAUUAGCUAGUAGGUGAGGUAACGGCUCACCUAGGCGACGAUACAUAGCCGACCUGAGAGGGUGAUCGGCCACACUGGGACUGAGACACGGCCCAGACUCCUACGGGAGGCAGCAGUAGGGAAUCUUCGGCAAUGGGGGCAACCCUGACCGAGCAACGCCGCGUGAGUGAAGAAGGUUUUCGGAUCGUAAAGCUCUGUUGUAAGUCAAGAACGAGUGUGAGAGUGGAAAGUUCACACUGUGACGGUAGCUUACCAGAAAGGGACGGCUAACUACGUGCCAGCAGCCGCGGUAAUACGUAGGUCCCGAGCGUUGUCCGGAUUUAUUGGGCGUAAAGCGAGCGCAGGCGGUUUGAUAAGUCUGAAGUUAAAGGCUGUGGCUCAACCAUAGUUCGCUUUGGAAACUGUCAAACUUGAGUGCAGAAGGGGAGAGUGGAAUUCCAUGUGUAGCGGUGAAAUGCGUAGAUAUAUGGAGGAACACCGGUGGCGAAAGCGGCUCUCUGGUCUGUAACUGACGCUGAGGCUCGAAAGCGUGGGGAGCGAACAGGAUUAGAUACCCUGGUAGUCCACGCCGUAAACGAUGAGUGCUAGGUGUUGGAUCCUUUCCGGGAUUCCAGUGCCGCAUGCUAACGCAUUAAGCACUCCGCCUGGGAGU